UAUACCACUGGGCCCGCCGCUGGGCACAA
rnacentral:sRNA from 1 species